rnacentral:rRNA from 1 species
AUGAACUCCAGAAUGACCUGCUGCUCGGCCAUCUCGUCGGAGUGGGCAACGGCGAACUUCGCCUCCGUCUGCUCCAUGUUGAAGGGCGGCACCUGCUGGUCCGGCUCCUCCGCUUCCAUCGGAGCCAUAUCCUCCUCCUCCGGCUUUGACGCGUCGGUCUCUGUCUGCUCCCGCCGGUGGAAUGCCCAGUUUGCCUCCACGUGGCAUUCCCACCACAGCGACGGACGCGGCGUCCGUCGGACCGUCGUGUUUCCGAGCGUUUUUGUGUGUGGCCACACUGUCAGGCAGACAUGGCGGGCAUGCACAGUACUACAUGCACAAUAUGGGGCAAGAGCCAAUAAUUAA